CAAGCCUUUUAACAUUUUAUCUGGACCAAACAGUAGUGGUCUUACACAAGAAACGAGAACUCUGUAAGUAAAUCUGUGUAUUUAUAUGACUAAAGUGCAUUAUAAAAAGAAGCAGUAAAUCCAGUUUUCUACAUAAAAGGAAUUAGAUUUUCCAGUUUACCUCUGCUCUGGGAUUAAUAAAAUGUGCAACAAAUAGCUGAUGGAAUGAUCCAUUUGAAGUUUGUAAAGGCAUCUUGGGAAGCUGGCUGGAGUAGCUUUUUUAUUUUUUCAAAAAACGAUGCCUGUUAAUUUUUUGAUUCAGUCUUGUUCAUGAAUGACUGUUUUAAAACGAGCCGAGAGAGACUGUUACCUGCCCAUUUCUGCAUGGCUGAGCAAAUUCACCCGUAAAUCCAAGUUUCUCUUCAUUUCCAUCACUAUACGUCUCCAAAUUAAGGAGAAUUCAUUCCUGAGCUGGAGAGGUGCCAGAAGUUUCUCAUCUACUGUCUGUGGGCUGCCUUUUUCUUUCCCCUCUUUGAGGCUUUCUGAUGCUUAGAGUGAGCUCAACUCAAAGGUUUCCAGCCUCACACUCGCCUCACAUUCCCCCACAGUCACACCGAGCUCUGUGAUUCUGAGGAAUACCGUGUGCCAGCAUCCGAUUCACAGUCUCCUUUUACCUGCAGGUGUUCCAGAAACUUCAAAAUGCGUCUGGAAGAAAUGAAAAGAUUGCAGAAUCCUUUAGGACAAGUUAAUGAUGGAAGAUAUUUACUUGAAAACAAAACAUCAACAUUAAGGCAGCCAUGAGUUCCUUGAGGAGUGUCACG